AUGCAACGUGUAAUGCCACUAGCAUGCAGUAGGGGGCAAAGGAGCUUAAGCUUCACUGAAAAGCUUGAUUCAAGCACUCCUGCAGCCAGUUCUGGUCCAGCCAACAAAUCAUCCACACCUGCAGCUUUGCUAGAGCCGCUGCAAGCCAGGGGGUGCUUGAGGGUUUGGAUUUUCUUUCACUGGUCGCUGAUUAAACCUGGUCAGUUCUUCUACUCAGAAUGGAUGAUCCCAUCCUUGUGUGAUCCAGAUUGCUGUUGCCACCAACCUGAAGACAUAUGGAACCAUAAGGACAGGAACCAUUCUGUUUAUUUCUGUUUUAGACCUUCCAUGUGUAUGGCCUUCAGGCUAUCCAAAUGGGAUGCAAGGGAGUGUUGAAUAUGGCCUGGCAAUGAAAUUCCGAAGUUGAACUGGGAGAAAGGCACUUCUGCCAACUAUUAUAUGUAUCCCUUCUGGGAAUUCUGACUUGCCUCAGUGAUGGGGAUAUGACAGCGACUGGCUUGGAAAUCUGUAAGCCAAACUCUCAGAUCAUGUCACGAUCUCAGAUCAUGUCAAAGACUCUAUACAGGUUAGAACUCUGUUCCAAACUCUUGGUGAAUAUAGUGAAUUUUGGGUAUCAAAAAUAAUCCUGUAGGAUUUAAAAAAUGACAUAACCAUUUAACAUUAUAUAUCUUUCUAGGAUUUUGAACUCAUCUUCAUCAUUCAUAUGAAGGAACCAAGUG
rnacentral:lncRNA from 1 species